GAGUUUGAUCCUGGCUCAGGAUGAACGCUGGCGGCGUGCUUAACACAUGCAAGUCGAACGAACCUUCGGGUUAGUGGCGGACGGGUGAGUAACGCGUGAGAAUCUGCCCUCAGGAGGGGGAUAACGGUUGGAAACGACCGCUAAUACCCCAUAUGCCUACUGGUGAAAUGAAUUUCGCCUGAGGAUGAGCUCGCGUCUGAUUAGCUAGUUGGUGAGGUAAUGGCUCACCAAGGCUUCGAUCAGUAGCUGGUCUGAGAGGAUGAUCAGCCACACUGGGACUGAGACACGGCCCAGACUCCUACGGGAGGCAGCAGUGGGGAAUUUUCCGCAAUGGGCGAAAGCCUGACGGAGCAACGCCGCGUGAGGGACGAAGGCCUCUGGGCUGUAAACCUCUUUUCUCAAGGAAGAAGAUAUGACGGUACUUGAGGAAUAAGCCACGGCUAAUUCCGUGCCAGCAGCCGCGGUAAUACGGGAGUGGCAAGCGUUAUCCGGAAUUAUUGGGCGUAAAGCGUCCGCAGGCGGCUUUUCAAGUCUGCUGUUAAAGCGUGGAGCUUAACUCCAUCAUGGCAGUGGAAACUGUUGGGCUUGAGUGUGGUAGGGGCAGAGGGAAUUCCCGGUGUAGCGGUGAAAUGCGUAGAUAUCGGGAAGAACACCAGUGGCGAAGGCGCUCUGCUGGGCCAUCACUGACGCUCAUGGACGAAAGCCAGGGGAGCGAAAGGGAUUAGAUACCCCUGUAGUCCUGGCCGUAAACGAUGAACACUAGGUGUCGGGGGAAUCGACCCCCUCGGUGUCGUAGCCAACGCGUUAAGUGUUCCGCCUGGGGAGUACGCACGCAAGUGUGAAACUCAAAGGAAUUGACGGGGGCCCGCACAAGCGGUGGAGUAUGUGGUUUAAUUCGAUGCAACGCGAAGAACCUUACCAGGGUUUGACAUCCUGCGAAUUUCUUGGAAACAGGAGAGUGCCUUCGGGAACGCAGUGACAGGUGGUGCAUGGCUGUCGUCAGCUCGUGUCGUGAGAUGUUGGGUUAAGUCCCGCAACGAGCGCAACCCACGUCUUUAGUUGCCAGCAUUUAGUUGGGCACUCUAGAGAGACUGCCGGUGAUAAACCGGAGGAAGGUGUGGAUGACGUCAAGUCAUCAUGCCCCUUACAUCCUGGGCUACACACGUACUACAAUGCUACGGACAAAGGGCAGCAAGUUCGCGAGGACAAGCAAAUCCCAUAAACCGUGGCUCAGUUCAGAUCGUAGGCUGCAACUCGCCUACGUGAAGGCGGAAUCGCUAGUAAUCGCAGGUCAGCAUACUGCGGUGAAUACGUUCCCGGGCCUUGUACACACCGCCCGUCACACCAUGGAAGUUGGCCACGCCCGAAGCCGUUACUCCAACCCUUGUGGAGGAGGACGUCGAAGGUGGGGCUGAUGACUGGGGUGAAGUCGUAACAAGGUAACCA
rnacentral:rRNA from 1 species